rnacentral:rRNA from 14 species
GUGAGGGAAAGGUGAAAAGUACCCCGGAAGGGGAGUGAAAGAGAACUUGAAACCGUGUGCUUACAAGUAGUCAGAGCCCGUUAAUGGGUGAUGGCGUGCCUUUUGUAGAAUGAACCGGCGAGUUACGUUAUGAUGCGAGGUUAAGUUGAAGAGACGGAGCCGUAGGGAAACCGAGUCUGAAUAGGGCGCCUUAGUAUCAUGACGUAGACCCGAAACCAUGUGACCUACCCAUGAGCAGGUUGAAG